CCCGCAAGGUCGGCCAUGGCGCGACCGAGCAGAGCAGGUACUAUCCUUGUCGUGGAUUGCUGCCUCACGUGUACGCAGAGCACAUCUUGGGUGUUUAGGUUGCAAGGUCAGUUUAGUCUACUGCAACCAGGAUGAAUGUGCAUCAAUCUGGAAUUGAGAUUCUCAAUAUUCAGACAUUGUCGAUAACAAGUGGAUGCAGAUUUCUUGGGUGUUUAGAUCUGUAGUUCUUCCCGUCGCUGGUCUGUAUCUAUUACCACACUCAUCGAUAUGUGGCGGAAUUCAAGUCUUCGUCCACGUCCAACGACCUGCAGGGCCCUAUGCUCCUAUCGUUUUAGUGAGAAUAGUGCCAGUGAUUCAAAAGGAUCUCAAUUCUGACAGCAGAAGAAAGAAAUGAUGCAUGCUACUUUCAUUGUCGUCCUCGCGGUUAAUUACAUGAUCUCAGGUCUCUCUCUCCAAGUUGAUUUUUCUCCAUCGUCGGUCGUCGAUGAUUUUCUGCUGAGCAUAAUGGAAGACACAAGCAGCCGCUUGGAAGGACAUCUGAAAAAAAGGGCGCAGGGCGCGCUAUUAGAUGCC